rnacentral:tRNA from 1 species
GCUUCGUUAGCUCAGUGGUAGAGCGCAAGAGCAAAAGAAAUCGUUUCUACGAAAGUAGAGCUGAAAGGCGGGAAACCAACGAUUCGAUUUCUAUUUAGCCAGAGGUCGCGGGUUCAAAUCCUGCACGAAGCU